UACGUAGGGCGCGAGCGUUGUCCGGAAUUAUUGGGCGUAAAGAGCUCGUAGGCGGUUCGUCGCGUCGGCUGUGAAAUCCCGAGGCUCAACCUCGGGUCUGCAGUCGAUACGGGCGGACUGGAGUUCGGCAGGGGAGACUGGAAUUCCUGGUGCAGCGGUGAAAUGCGCAGAUAUCAGGAGGAACACCGGUGGCGAAGGCGGGUCUCUGGGCCGAUACUGACGCUGAGGAGCGAAAGCGUGGGGAGCGAACAGG
rnacentral:rRNA from 1 species